rnacentral:rRNA from 1 species
CAGUCGCCGCGGGAAUACGAAGGGGGCUAGCGUUGUUCGGAAUUACUGGGCGUAAAGCGCACGCAGGCGGCUCGAUAAAUUAGAAGUGAAAGCCUUGGGCUUAACCUGAGAAUUGCUUUUAAGACUGUCGAGCUAGAAUCCAGAAGAGGGUAGCGGAAUUCCGAGUGUAGAGGUGAAAUUCGUAGAUAUUCGGAAGAACACCAGUGGCGAAGGCGACUACCUGGUCUGGCAUUGACGCUCAUGUGCGAAAGCGUGUGGAGCAAACAGGAUUAGAUACCCCAGUAGUCCCUGUCUCUUAUAC